AAAUGCAUUAACCAAUUACAGGUAUCCAAGAUGCAAAGAAACAUGAUGGAAAAUAGUCUUUGGGAAAAUUAAUCUUUAGGAAAAUUAAUCUGGCAGCAGGGGUGUUCAGGGGCCUGUCUUGGCCCCACCAGGGGCAGCCCAUGGAAACUACUAUGAUCUUGUUUCACCCCCAGUGAUUACAUGGGGAGGGAGGUGCUCCCAAUUCUGAUGGAGGAGAAUUGGAGAUUGGAAUUUAGAUUGAAUUCAGUAUCUCUCUCUCUCUGUCUCUCUCUCUCUCUCUCCCAUUAACACUUACAACGACUGUGAUUGUAUGACCUUAGAACUCAGUCAUUCUGGUAUGAAACUGUGUGGUGGAGAAUGAAUUUGCUGGGAAGUUGAUUUUGGUCUCACUUCAGCAUCUUCUCAUUAUUUAUGCACAUGAAACCUUUCAUGUGUGACACUUAUUCUAUUCUCAAGUGCUAAAUGAAACAUUUAAGACAGGAGUGGAAACUGUUCACUUUCUCAUAUGAAAGCAAGAUUCAAUGAUUCUGUAAGGAGGUAGUCAGUGGUAUCGUGUUAGGUAUUAAGGGGCAUAUGUGCUUAAACAGAGAAAUAUGUCUAAAAUAUUUAAAUUCUAAUAUAAAAAAAGUGACUGUAUUAUUUAGGGCUGCAUUUUAGUUGUAAGAAAAAAGUCCAACUCAAGCAAAAACGGCCCACACAAUGGAACAGUCCCAGGACCCACCGGCUUCAGGGGCUGCUCCAGCAAUGGCGCCCGGACUCCCUCUUGCUCCGCGUGCCUUCCCAUGCACUGGCUUCGUGCUUCAGCGGGGUCUCUGCUGAUGGUGCCAUUGCCCGGACUCCCUCUUGCUCCGCGUGCCUUCCCAUGCACUGGCUUCGUGCUUCAGCGGGGUCUCUGCUGAUGGUGCCAUUGAUGACUGACCUCCAUGAGCUUGCUUUACCCCCUGCCAGCUUAAGAACAGUAGUGAAAGAGAACAUGUGUGUCCUCCCAUUUCCAGUAAAAACUUCAGGCAGGAGCCUCACUGGCUCAGCUUGGUCCCGUUUCCAUCUCCCAUGCCAUCUCUGGCCAGGUGACAGGCUACCAUGUCACUGCCUAGGGAAGUUUAGGAAGAGAGUGGCAAAGUGGUGCAUUAGAAAGAACAUGGCCAGGUCACCCCACCUCCUGGGCGGCAGGCCCAACUCCACCAGUGGUCCACUGUGUGACUUCCCUGCUCCCUCUAAGCAAGUCACUCCUCUCCUCUGGGUCUCUGUUUCCUUACCUAUAAAAUGAGAAUGUUUCUUCAUGUGAUCUCAAGUCCCUUUUAAAAUCGCUAGGAUUCUUUGAAAACGUUUUCUAUCAUCUAGUGCAGAGAACUUGUUGAGGAAGUUGGGAUUGGAAUGAGCCUCAGCAGAUGGGCAAGGUUUGAAUAGGAAGAGAAGAGACAUUUCAGGAGAAAGAAACAACAUAGAGAGACAGAUGUAGGUAUAAGACAUGGUAAUAAGCCAAAAUGUAUUCUAAGAGUUAUAAAUGCAAGAAAUCAUCAUCAAAGCUUGCUUAGUGAUUAACUGCUUAUAUUUUGCCAGUGCAUAUGAUGUGACAUUUUUCUUUAACUCAAACACUAAAUUACGAUGUCCUCAGGUUAUCAUAAACCCCAUUUGACUUCAUGCCUCUACUCUCUCAGGGCUGGCGCUGUGACAACUGCCGCAGACCUGGGGGUGAACCCAGUCCCGAAGGCACUACUGGCCAGUCCUACAACCAGUAUUCUCAGAGAUACCAUCAGAGAACAAACACUAAUGUUAAUUGCCCAAUUGAGUGCUUCAUGCCUUUAGAUGUACAGGCUGACAGAGAAGAUUCCCGAGAGUAAAUCUUUCCAAUCCAGAGGAACAAGCAUGUCUCUCUGCCAAGAUCCAUCUAAACUGGAGUGAUGUUAGCAGACCCAUCUUAGAGUUCUUGUUUCUUUCUUAAGCCCUUUGCUCUGGAGGAAGUUCUCCAGCUUCAGCUCAACUCACAGCUUCUCCAAGCAUCACCCUGGGAGUUUCCUGAGAGUUUUCUCAUAAAUGAGGGCUGCACAUUGCCUGUUCUGCUUCAAAGUAUUCAAUACCGCUCAGUAUUUUAAAUGAAGUGAUUCUAAGAUUUGGUUUGGGAUCAAUAGGAAAGCAUAUGCAGCCAACCAAGAUGCAAAUGUUUUGAAAUGAUAUGACCAAAAUUUUAAGUAGGAAAGUCACCCAAACACUUCUGCUUUCACUUAAGUGUCUGGCCUGCAAUACUGUAGGAAUAAGCAUGAUCUUGUUACUGUGAUAUUUUAAAUAUCCACAGUACUCACUUUUUCCAAAUGAUCCUAGUAAUUGCCUAGAAAUAUCUUUCUCUUACCUGUUAUUUAUCAAUUUUUCCCAGUAUUUUUAUACGGAAAAAAUUGUAUUGAAAACACUUAGUAUGCAGUUGAUAAGAGGAAUUUGGUAUAAUUAUGGUGGGUGAUUAUUUUUUAUACUGUAUGUGCCAAAGCUUUACUACUGUGGAAAGACAACUGUUUUAAUAAAAGAUUUACAUUCC
rnacentral:sRNA from 1 species